CCUACGUGAGGCAGCAGUAGGGAAUAUUGCUCAAUGGGGGAAACCCUGAAGCAGCAACGUCGCGUGGAGGAUGAAUGUUUUCGGAUUGUACCCUCCUUUUGUUAGAGAAGAUAAUGUCGGUAUCUAACGUAUAAGCACCGGCAAACUCCGUGCCAGCAGCCGUGGUAACACGGAGGGUGCAAGCGUUACUCGGAAUCACUGGGCGUAAGGAGCGCGUAGGCGGGAUAGCAAGUCAGAUGUGAAAUCCUAUGGCUUAACCGUAGAACUGCAUUGGAAACUGUUAUUCUAGAGUAUGGGAGAGGUAGGUGGAAUUCUUGGUGUAGGGGUAAAAUCCGUAGAGAUCAAGAGGAAUACUCAUUGCGAAGGCGACCUGAUAACAUAACUGACGCGGAUGCGCGAAAGCGUGGGGAGCAAACAGGAUUAGAUACCCGGGUAGUC
rnacentral:rRNA from 1 species